rnacentral:lncRNA from 1 species
GUGAACCCUCCUUUAAUAGUCAUAUUUCAUUAAUAUACAGGGUCCAUUUUGACACAAGACAACAAUCCAGACUAAGAAUUUACCAAAGGUCAGAUCAUAAUGAAUACGGGUGUUAUAUGGACAGAGUCGAACUGAUCUCAGAUCAGCACUCAUACUCUGAUGGCGAAUUCUCUCUCUCCGAUCAUCCUUUCCAUAAUUUCAGAAUGUCACCAGGUGUGGAGGUGUAACCAGGGUGUAGUGAUGUAGUAAAUUAAUGUCACCAGGUGUGGAGGUGUAACCAGGGUGUAGUGAUGUAGUAAAUUAAUGUCAUCAGGUGUGGAGGUGUAACCAGGGUGUAGUGAUGUAGUAAAUUAAUGUCAUCAGGUGUGGAGGUGUAACCAGGGUGUAGUGAUGUAGUAAAUUAAUGUCACCAGGUGUGGAGGUGUAACCAGGGUGUAGUGAUGUAGUAAAUUAAUGUCACCAGGUGUGGAGGUGUAACCAGGGUGUAGUGAUGUAGUAAAUUAAUGUCACCAGGUGUGGAGGUGUAACCAGGGUGUAGUGAUGUAGUAAAUUAAUGUCACCAGGUGUGGAGGUGUAACCAGGGUGUAGUGCUGCUAGAGGUUUAAUUAAUAAAAUACUAUGUGAUCUUAACUCACCUGUCCAUCGUCUGCUGUGUCCCUUGUGUCAGAGGUGGAUUUGGAGGCCUUCCUGUUUUACACGUCAACAAAUGAAUGAAUGAAUGAAUGAAUAAUCAAGUUAAUAAAUUAAAAUGAUAAUGUGAAAUGACGGUCUUAGAAAGAUUCUCACCUGAACCACAUGAAGACAGAGAGACGGAGUAUGAUAAUCUGUGAUUCCUUCAGCUGAAGUCAUAACUGAGGUCUGUUUCUCUAAAGGUUCAACAAAAAGGUGGAUGAUAUGAAUACACAUGUUAUCAUAUAGUGGAGCUUGAAAUGAAAUAUCCUUGUAUUUGAAUCUCACAUUUUUUACCUGUACUUGUUGACUUUCUCUCAGAUAUGUGAUUCUCAGGGUGGAG